rnacentral:rRNA from 1 species
UGGGGAAUUUUGGACAAUGGGGGAAACCCUGAUCCAGCCAUCCCGCGUGUGCGAUGAAGGCCUUCGGGUUGUAAAGCACUUUUGGCAGGAAAGAAACGUCGCGGGUUAAUACCCCGCGAAACUGACGGUACCUGCAGAAUAAGCACCGGCUAACUACGUGCCAGCAGCCGCGGUAAUACGUAGGGUGCAAGCGUUAAUCGGAAUUACUGGGCGUAAAGCGUGCGCAGGCGGUUCGGAAAGAAAGAUGUGAAAUCCCAGAGCUUAACUUCGGAACUGCAUUUUUAACUACCGGGCUAGAGUGUGUCAGAGGGAGGUGGAGUUCCGCGUGUAGCAGUGAAAUGCGUAGAUAUGCGGAGGAACACCGAUGGCGAAGGCAGCCUCCUGGGAUAACACUGACGCUCAUGCACGAAAGCGUGGGGAGCAAACAGGAUUAGAUACCCUGGUAGUCCACGCCCUAAACGAUGUCAACUAGCUGUUGGGGCCUUCGGGCCUUGGUAGCGCAGCUAACGCGUGAAGUUGACCGCCUGGGGAGUACGGUCGCAAGAUU